rnacentral:lncRNA from 1 species
GGAUAGAAUACCUGAAGGGAAAAGUCUAUCACACUUUUACUUACUUUCCCUUUUCUUUCUCUUUCACAUUCAGAUGCGUUUCAAUUUUUAUUUUUCAUCGUUCAUAUCGCUCGUUCAUCUCGUUCAUCCUUCAUCUUCACAUAAACCCUAAAUCUCACUAACCAAAUCAACAAAUCAUUCCGAACCCUAACUCCUCAAUCUCAUUCUCGAACCCUAACUCCUCAAUCUCAAACCUAAAUAUUAAAAUCCAAUCUCGAACCCUAAUUCAAUCUGUUCUCGAACGCAAUUCGUUCUCAUUCACUGUUUCCAAAUGGAUUGGCCAUCGUGAUUCUGCAAUUCGACAUUCACUUUGGAAGUUGUUAUUAACACACAUCUCCGAUUUGUGAACCCAUAGCUUUGAAAAUAUCAGAACUGGUGUUCUCAGUUGGAAAUUGUCAUCCUCAUUUGCCGUUGUUCUCGUCGUACUGCCAUGGAAUAAAUGCAUUUGCAGAAACAACGAGGGAGAAGUGACAUGCAAAAAUAACUAACAUGGUGAUCGUGCUUAGUGUGCAGUUGCCGUCGUGAGUGGCCUUGCCUUCACUGUGUCGUCUAGGUCGCUCUGAUACGUAACGGGAUGGGGUUAUAUGCUAUAACAUGCUUCAUUCUCUUACGUGGAUAAUAUGCUAUUUUUAUUAUGUUAUGGAAUAUGAACUAUUUUGAUGGGGCCUACGUGCCAAACUGAUUUAUGAUUUUUGAAUUAAAUAUUCCGCUGCUAUGUUAAAGAUAUUGUGAAGGUUAAAUUAUUAUUUAACUGUUUUGGAUUACGUUUCUAUGUGAUAUCCC